GACGAACGCUGGCGGCGUGCCUAAUACAUGCAAGUCGAGCGAAGUUUUUCUGGUGCUUGCACUAGAAAAACUUAGCGGCGAACGGGUGAGUAACACGUAAAGAACCUGCCUCAUAGACUGGGACAACUAUUGGAAACGAUAGCUAAUACCGGAUAACAGUAUUUCUCGCAUGAGAGAUAUUUAAAAGUUGGUUAUGCUAACACUAUGAGAUGGCUUUGCGGUGCAUUAGCUAGUUGGUGGGGUAAAGGCCCACCAAGGCGACGAUGCAUAGCCGACCUGAGAGGGUGAGCGGCCACACUGGGACUGAGACACGGCCCAGACUCCUACGGGAGGCAGCAGUAGGGAAUCUUCCGCAAUGGGCGAAAGCCUGACGGAGCAACGCCGCGUGAGUGAAGAAGGAUUUCGGUUCGUAAAGCUCUGUUGUUAGGGAAGAAUGGAUAUGUAGUAACUAUACAUGUAAGAGACGGUACCUAACCAGAAAGCCACGGCUAACUACGUG
rnacentral:rRNA from 1 species